rnacentral:rRNA from 1 species
UCACCCUCAUGAAGAUGGAAUCCCUAGUAAUCGCGAGCCAUCAUCUCGCGGUGAAUGCGUCCCCGCUCCUUGCACACACCGCCCGUCAAGUCACCCAAAUGUUUCUCCGGUGAGGCCUAGGUUCUUGCCUAGCUCGAACCGAAGGGACGUGAGGGGGGCUAAG